rnacentral:tRNA from 1 species
GGUUCCACGGUGUACUGGUUUAGCACUCUGGACUUUGAAUCCAGGCACCUGGUUCGAAUCCCGGUGGGACCU